AUGAGCCGCAGAAGGAUAAGCAGUGCAGUCCUUGUGGUUGCCUUGCUCUUCUCCCCAUUAUUGCUCACGCUCUACCUUCCCACUGCCUGCGCUCGCCAUGUGGCGGUGCUCGGGGCAAAAGAUGACCUGAAUCUCGCCGUCGGCCGGCAGCAUGUGGUUGGUGAUGAUGCAGGAAAGGCCGUCCCUGUCGGCGGCUCACGGCCAGUUAGGACGGUGGAGAUGCGCGCGGCGAGGAGGCACCGGCGGGACGCGGCCGACGAGAUGCACGACAUGCUGAGGAAGGACUACGCGUAUAGGGCGAGGGGCAAAAAGCCCAUCCACAACGACGAGCCACUCGACGAUGAACCCUAA
rnacentral:rRNA from 1 species